ACGACUCUCGGCAACGGAUAUCUCGGCUCUCGCAUCGAUGAAGAACGUAGCGAAAUGCGAUACUUGGUGUGAAUUGCAGAAUCCCGUGAACCAUCGAGUCUUUGAACGCAAGUUGCGCCCCAAGCCUUCAGGCCGAGGGCACGUCUGCCUGGGUGUCACAAAUCGUCGUCCCCAUCCUUUGCGGAUAAGGGACGGAAG
rnacentral:rRNA from 1 species